rnacentral:sRNA from 1 species
ACGUACAUCCAUCAUGGCCUCAUACAUGAGAGGAAUGGUGACCAAGAAGGGCUCAGAUCGCUUAGGAAUGAAGGUUGGGGUCACACCACCAGGAGGGAGGUGUAGAAAGAGGUACAUGGAGAACAAGUUUGUCAAUCUCUCUGAACUUCAGCUGCCUUACCUGUAAGGCAGCCGUGUCUGUGUUUUUGUCUCGCAGAAUUAGAGCCCAUUGGGAACGAUGCCACCACCGUCAGACAUUGUCAAAGUGGCCAUUGAGUGGCCAGGUGCUAACGCCCAGCUCCUUGAAAUCGACCAGAAACGGCCCCUGGCAUCCAUUAUCAAGGAAGUUUGUGAUGGGUGGUCGUUGCCAAACCCAGAGUAUUAUACCCUCCGUUACGCAGAUGGUCCUCAGCUGUACAUCACCGAACAGACUCGCAGUGACAUUAAGAAUGGGACAAUCUUACAACUGGCUAUCUCCCCGUCCCGGGCUGCACGCCAGCUGAUGGAGAGGACCCAGUCAUCCAACAUGGAGACCCGGCUGGAUGCCAUGAAGGAGCUGGCCAAGCUCUCUGCCGACGUGACUUUCGCUACUGAGUUCAUCAACAUGGAUGGCAUCAUUGUGCUGACAAGGCUCGUGGAAAGUGGAACCAAGCUCUUGUCCCACUACAGUGAGA